rnacentral:rRNA from 2 species
UUUAAUUUUGAACGAGUGGCGGACGGGUGAGUAACACGUGGGUAACCUGCCCUUAAGUGGGGGAUAACAUUUGGAAACAGAUGCUAAUACCGCAUAAAUCCAAGAACCGCAUGGUUCUUGGCUGAAAGAUGGCGUAAGCUAUCGCUUUUGGAUGGACCCGCGGCGUAUUAGCUAGUUGGUGAGGUAACGGCUCACCAAGGCAAUGAUACGUAGCCGAACUGAGAGGUUGAUCGGCCACAUUGGGACUGAGACACGGCCCAAACUCCUACGGGAGGCAGCAGUAGGGAAUCUUCCACAAUGGACGCAAGUCUGAUGGAGCAACGCCGCGUGAGUGAAGAAGGCUUUCGGGUCGUAAAACUCUGUUGUUGGAGAAGAAUGGUCGGCAGAGUAACUGUUGUCGGCGUGACGGUAUCCAACCAGAAAGCCACGGCUAACUACGUGCCAGCAGCCGCGGUAAUACGUAGGUGGCAAGCGUUAUCCGGAUUUAUUGGGCGUAAAGCGAGCGCAGGCGGUUUUUUAAGUCUGAUGUGAAAGCCCUCGGCUUAACCGAGGAAGUGCAUCGGAAACUGGGAAACUUGAGUGCAGAAGAGGACAGUGGAACUCCAUGUGUAGCGGUGAAAUGCGUAGAUAUAUGGAAGAACACCAGUGGCGAAGGCGGCUGUCUGGUCUGUAACUGACGCUGAGGCUCGAAAGCAUGGGUAGCGAACAGGAUUAGAUACCCUGGUAGUCCAUGCCGUAAACGAUGAAUGCUAGGUGUUGGAGGGUUUCCGCCCUUCAGUGCCGCAGCUAACGCAUUAAGCAUUCCGCCUGGGGAGUACGACCGCAAGGUUGAAACUCAAAGGAAUUGACGGGGGCCCGCACAAGCGGUGGAGCAUGUGGUUUAAUUCGAAGCAACGCGAAGAACCUUACCAGGUCUUGACAUCUUUUGAUCACCUGAGAGAUCAGGUUUCCCCUUCGGGGGCAAAAUGACAGGUGGUGCAUGGUUGUCGUCAGCUCGUGUCGUGAGAUGUUGGGUUAAGUCCCGCAACGAGCGCAACCCUUAUGACUAGUUGCCAGCAUUUAGUUGGGCACUCUAGUAAGACUGCCGGUGACAAACCGGAGGAAGGUGGGGAUGACGUCAAAUCAUCAUGCCCCUUAUGACCUGGGCUACACACGUGCUACAAUGGAUGGUACAACGAGUUGCGAGACCGCGAGGUCAAGCUAAUCUCUUAAAGCCAUUCUCAGUUCGGACUGUAGGCUGCAACUCGCCUACACGAAGUCGGAAUCGCUAGUAAUCGCGGAUCAGCACGCCGCGGUGAAUACGUUCCCGGGCCUUGUACACACCGCCCGUCACACCAUGAGAGUUUGUAACACCCGAAGCCGGUGGCGUAACCCUUUUAGGGAGCGAGCCGUCUAAGGUGGGACAAAUGAUUAGGGUGAAGUCGUAACAAGGUAGCCGUAGGAGAACCUGCGGCUGGAUCACCUCCUUUCUAAGGAA